GGCUGCGAGGAGCUCAACGCAGAAAAGGGCGGGACUGGGUUGUGGACUAGCUGUGGACUAUUUUGCAUGAGGUAGUCGCUACUUGUCAAGGUGCAGACACUACAGCGCUGAAGACUCAGUCACAGAACUCUCCGAGACAACGCAGUUGGCCGUUUCUGGUUUUUUACUUGUUUUCAAGACAAUACUACACAGUAGUUUCAUUAAUGUUAAUGAAAUGUUAAUGUUAAAUACGUCAUGGACAUCCUACAAAAAAAAAAAAAAGUCAACCAGUGCAAAGUGACUGAGUUACAGCUAUUAAACAAAGAGUUAAGAACUAAACUAUUAUGAAUGCACUCCAUUAUCAGAAGUGGAACAUUUAAUAAUGGGAUUGUGCGUCAGUAAAAUUAAACUGGUAAGUUUAUUUGCAAAAUUAUGCUUAUCAUGUCAUACCAUUGAGCAGGAAUGUACACAGCAAAUACUAUAGAAAUAUAGAUAAAAUGUCUUGGCUACUUGCAACUGAAGCAUGCAUUUUACUAUAUUGUAUAUAUAUAUAUAUAUAUAUAUAUAUAUAUAAUUAUACACACACACACACACACACACACUCUAUAUAAAACUGACAUUUUACACAGUAAAAAAACUCUUGUUGCAAGUCGGUAUUGUAUAAUGGUAGAACAUUUUUUCCAUGCAAAGUGGAGGACCAAAGAUGCUGAGCACUUGCACACAGCACGCAUUUGCACACAGCACACAUUUAUACAUACAUACAUACAUACAUACAUACAUACACACACACACACACACACACACACACACACACACACGAGCGUGCGCUAAGCAGCAGUCAUUAGCCUCUUCUACACUGCCACCAGCUGUCUUUAUUAUCCGUUCAGUGUCCAUAACCACACCUAAGUCCUAAAUCAAAAAAAAACAAAAAAAAACACAUUUGAUCAGUCAGUGCAAAGACUGCUGUGUUUUCCUGGUCUGCCUGUUGAUUAUACACAGAGAGAUUGAGAAUGAAAUGCCAAUCAAAAUACAUCCACAAGAAAAAGCUUGCAGUUUCCCCAAAGCCAGCUGGAGGGGGGGCGAGAGUGCACGCAUGUGGGCUCAGCUAUACAAGCCAUAACCAUGCUUACAGCAAGCGUUGGGUAAUCUUGUGUAGAAUAUUUUCAUGUCAUUGAAUACAUAAUAGAGGCUUCUAAGAGAGGAGUGAUGAGUGAUUUUUUCCACAAGGUGAGUUUAGCCUAUGUAGACAAUCAUGAUCUGGAAUGCAACCCACUAUAUGUAGUUUUAAUGUGGCUUUCUGAGUGUACACACUGAGCAGCAGAACGAUUUACUGUAACAAUCAUAAAAAGACAAAUUAUCGGGUGACCAUUAACUUCAGAAACCAGCUAAUAGUAUUGAUGGAGUGAAAAGUCAUCCUCAGAAAGCAUCUGGUUAUCUCGUUAAUCUCAUACACUUCUACGUCAGAACAAUGGAAGAGACCAUUUUAACUGGAACACCAGUACCACUCAAAAAGGUGAACACAUACCAGACAAAUGCCAUGAAACACAUUGUAGGAACAUAGGAAUCACUAGUCUACAUUUUAUUGGGUUGAUGCUCAGAAACACCUAAUGUUCCCUGAUUUCCAGCACACCCUCAACAUGAGACUGCAGACACGCAAGCCCAGUGAGGAAGGUGUGGAGGAGCAUUAGCCAUACUUACUCGGUUAGAAGGAACCCCAGAGAAGGCAUAGGGACAGGCUGAACAGCACAGAACGGUUACACACCCACUCUUACAGCGACACGAGCACACAACACACCGAGGCUCAGGCUUUGUAUCAUUUUAAAACAGCGUACAGACAGACAUUGGUACCAUGCGGCACACGCGCUGCAAUGCCCACCGACAGGGCCGUCCAGGAGAGGGGGCUGGAUGGCAGUGCACAUGGACAGGACCAUCCAGGAUAGCAGGCUGGAUGCGAGGUCGGGUUGCCAGCUCUCUAGAUUCUGCUCAUUCUGCUUCUAUGUGCACAAUACAUUCCUGCACCCAAGUAGACUGGCUUCUGCAACUACACUCAUCAUCUUAAAAAAAAAA